ACUGAAGGUCCGAGGACCCAGGCCUGCCGAGCGGCUCCCAUGAAACUGGCUGACGGCGCUACUACCGUGCACAACGAGGGACAAACUGCAGGGACUCUUUCAUAAUGCAGCACACACACGCGUGACACUGCUCCAAAAAGGUCAUCGAUACAGUGAACCACCUAUAUACUCGACGAACUUGUGUGCUGGAAGCGUGGGAUUGGUUCUCCACUCAGUGACGGACAGUGUGAACGUGGGUGUGUAUGGUUGUUCGUGAGUGUAUAAAUGUUGCAUGUUGGUAACAAGGAACUAUGUUGAACUGAGGGGAAAGACUUCAUUUAGUCCACCCAUUGUGUUGUCCAAUGGGGGUAAAAAAAAAAUGCUUUACCGCCAUCUUGUGGCAUCUAUGGGUAUUCUGAACAUUUUUGGGUCGGCACAGAUUACUUGAGAAUGUUAACUGUGGUCGCUAUCCACCGUUAGUCGAGGUGGUUCACUGUAUUCGUCUUUGGGUUGGAAUUACAGGAUGGACCUGAAGAGCACUGUCACAUUUACAGAUGAACCUCACUUGACCGAGUUUGAACUUUUCAAUUGUUCAACGUUUCAGAACGACAAGGAGCUCAAGUGAAAACAGGUCAAGGACGUCCACGUGGAGACCCCAUCGGGUCUCUCUGUGGCUCUGUUGUAACCUGCAGACAGCGGCGGUUUCUGGUCUGAGCGAUAUGUGCGGCUAUGAAGGUUGAAGUGAGAGGUGAUUGGAUGUCAAGGAAGUCUGACAUCUUUGUUGCUGGAAGAUCUCUGGGGAAAUAAAGGCAGCACACAUUGUUGGAAUCGUCAUUUUAGCUGCGUGGAAAAAGAGACGCUCACAAUGAGCGGGCCACGAAGGGCAAUGGACGUACAAAAUUUACAAAAAUGUCAAGAAGGUCAAAUUUAGUUCACCUGUCAAAGUUACAACGCAGUUGAGGUUCAUUCUGAAAUGUCACCCAAAAGCUCAAGAUGCCCACCUUGUGGAGAAACACACACACAAACACACACGCACACACAGCUUUGAAAUCUUCUCUUAAUAUGUGGACCAACCAUUUUGUGAGGCUUUAUUUCACGUUUCUUUCUCUUCAACCUGUUGAUAUUUGUGUCUUGUGGUGAAGACUUCAAU